CGCGCACCCCCGGGCAGCCUAGAUGCUCUAGGAUACCAAGACGCACGUGGUGGGGUCACCCUGGUGUCACAGACCUGCUAUCACCGCCUCCCGAGACAGCAUGGACUGCCAGAACGUACCCCUUGUAUGGACAGGGAACACCGGGCCCUGCGAAGGGGGCUGAGGGCUUUCCCAAUGGUAAAUGCAGACCUCUGAGAAGCUGACGGGAAAGAGAUAAAGGAGACAACGUGAAGGCAACUCCACAAGGAACUGUUAAAUAGGAAAAAUAAAACACAGAAACCUGGAU
rnacentral:lncRNA from 1 species